ACAAGGAGGGCCGGGGCUUGGGUCUAGUUGGAGGGGAGGCAGUGGCCAGUUCAGGGCUCAGAUGAGAGAGUUAGCCGAGUUAGGGGCAGCUACUAGGAUGGGGGCAGGAGGAGAAGCGGGGCUAACUAUAAAGAAGACUAGAUUUCGGGACAGUGGGUAUGUGGAAGGCAGCUUUCAAACCGCCCUUGUCAAACAACACAGGGCCAGCAGCCUUCAAGACCAGGCUAUCCCUGCCGUCUGCUGGCAUGGGGGCACUUGUACCGUCCAGGAGGGUACAAGUUUCACAGGCCUACAUGGGGCCAAUGUCCUAGCGUGAGUGGCAGAGCAGCAGUAGACUCUUGGGCCCUCGAGGCACUGAAAAUGAAAGAAGACAGACAGGGAGGGCAGGGACUAGGUGGCAGUGGAGGUCGACUUUGAACUUGACAAUACCAGCAAAUCGCUUUUUUUCCAGAUAAGGGGUUGUGAACCCACCUGGGGAUGAGGCCUGGUCUUAUGGAAAGUGGACUUAGCUUCGCUGGGCUAGGCCGACAGCUGUGGCCCAGGGUGGUAUGUAAUUUGGGUGUGGCCUGUCUGUACCCACUCCUGAGUGCCAGGGGUAGCUGAGAGACGGACAGUUUUGGCUGCCAGGCGGGGACCAAGGAGAUCGAAGGCGCGCGUCUUGGGGCCGCAUUGAUCACGACUUUAUUUUUCAGAUGUCAGUGCCCUCUCUGGACUUUGCCUAGGUUCCGUGCUUCCUCUUCUGUGGUCUCACUCUUCCCUACUCUUCCCCCUCACUCUGAGGUUAAGGGUUCACUUAAAACCUUGCCUCUGGGUCAUCUGGUAAGCCUGGGGAAGAUGUAGAGCCCGUGUGGGAGUCUUGGGCUCCGCAUUUUGGUAUUACUGGUAAAGUCGGAGGACACCCUGACUGGGCGGGGAGGGUUGGUAUUGAUUCACAGAGGGAGGGACUUGAAUGUGGACCCUUGGGUGGGUUCACAGCCGUGGUUCCAGUCACCCAAAUGCUUCAUGGACGUGGUUUGUUACUAUAGCGUUCACCAAGGCAAGCAGAUGGCGCCAGGAGACAUGGAGCCCCCCUGCCAGUGUGAGUCGUAGCAGUACAGGAGGGCACACCCUGGAGGAGACAGCUGCCUAAGUUGAUGUCUGCACAGUGAAUUCCAGAGGCUUAGGAAGCUCUGCGCUGCCGCGUGUCCAGGCCUUUCUCAGGAAUCCCUGUGUGUCGAAGGCCAUCGUUUAAGUCAGCUUGUAGGGGGGUGGGAGGGUGCUUCCAGCUGGAGGGGCCGUCAGCUAUGAAUGUUCCAGAUGAAUGUCUUGUUCUGGGAGCAUGGCUCUUUCCGGAUUCAGGCACCCCCGUUCCUGGGGGUAGAGGCGUUCAGUUGCAGCGUCUUGUGAACAAGCCUCCAGCCUUUCUAGUUCUGUGCUACGAACUUGGCCCGGAGAAGAUGGCUUAAGGUGUAGGACACUUUAACUUCAGCCCAGCAUGAUUGAUGAUGCCUUGUAGAUGGUUUUGCAGCAGGAGCCCAGUGACCUCGCCACCUUCCCUGCGUCUGCGGCCCGCCUGCCUCUGCAUUGGUCAGAGGAAUUCUUAACAGAACUUUUGGGUGUUGGGGAAAACUGUUGGGUUUUAAAUGACUGGUGUGGAAGAGUCUUAGAUGAAGCCUGUUGUUAAAUGGGUUGGGGGGUUGUGUUUUUAAAUGUGGGAAGGCACGAGUUAGCCGCAAAUUCUGUAGUUUGUAGAUGGCAUAUCUAACUUGGGAUGGCUUUGUAUUAAGGGAACAGUGGCCUGCGGUGGUCCGUGGGUUUGGUACUGGGUGAUGGGCAAGCGCUGCUCUGCUGAAUGACAGGUCUGACUGUGCACAUGGCCUUCCGAGGUGAAAUUUGAGUUUUACUGGGUCAAGCUUGGUGGUACUUUUGGCACCAAAUGUGGGACUGGGACUUGUGGGGGAGAGCUGGGCUCAGCUUGGCAAUGGUGUAUUGUCCAGAGGAUUGAUGAUGGUGGAGUUGGUGCCAGUAAGGGAUGUGCUUGGAAAUGUGGGUUGGUGGGAAUAAUAGCUUGGGAACUAAAUAACUCAGAUGAAAAUCUAAAGACCCAUGAAAAUCCUUCAUGCGGUGACUGAAGGUUGAGAUGCACAGACAGUUGCCUGGAAAAUACCAAAAUCCUACAAGGGGAAAAGCAAAAUUGUUUUGCUUCACUCUUUAUGGGGAAGGGUUUGAAUAGCUUUUCUUAGUUGCUCAAUAGAUGGUGUCAACACCGUGUCACAGGCCGGCCUGUGGGUGUGGGCAGUGCUGGAGAGCUGAUUUCCAUGAAGUAUAACUGGGGAGAGGCUUGUCAAUGCCAACACUGUGGGCUCUUGUUUGACUUGGGGUUGCCAGAGGCUUCUGGGUCUCUAAUUCAAAUUCUGUCUUACUGUGUGAAUAAGAAUUCUAAUGCAGGGGUUGGGGAUUUAGCUCAGCGGUAGAGCGCAAGGCCCUGGGUUCGAUCCCCAGCCCCAGGGGGGAAAAAAAAUUCUAAUGCAGGCGGGGGAUAUUGCUCUUUAGAGCGCUUGCCCAGCCAGCGCAAGGCCUUGGGUCCUUAGCUGGGGGCGGGGGGGGCAGUCUGCUACUAUCUGAACGAAUUUAAUGUGGGAGUCAUGCCUUAUACAACACAGGAAAUUAAUGUGUGAUCUAAUGCGUGAUCUAUGACUUAUUACAAUACAGGAAUUUAAUGUGUGAGCCAUGCCUUCAAAACAUGUCUAGAAUUUCUGGAAUUGGCCGGAAGUCAACAGGGAUUGCUUAUUUAACCUUUCAAAUCACUCAUUGUGACUAGGGCACAUGGUCUUGCGCUUGCUAUGAGGUCAUUGUGAUGUUUGGUAGAAAACCUCACUCAUGUACUUGGCUAAGGCUGCACUGCUGAAUACAUUGUGGGCUGGGCUUGAAUGGUGCUUUAAACCCCGAGCAGAGGGGAAACUGUCAGUCAAAACAUUUGGGAAAUAAAAGUGAAAACUGGGCAAGGGCAGGGGGCUGGGCGUGAACCGCUUACUAGAUAAUGUUCUCUAAAAAUUGGCUCUGAAAACCCUGUUUGUGUAUUCGUUUUAUGAGUGCUUAAAAAUGGUGUGACCAGGGCAUGGUCACUGUCAUUGGAACAGCAACAUGCUUGCUGGUCACAUUGGAAUGGGGAAAUGUGAAGAAAGCUGGACAUCAGGCCUGCGGCACCCAUUUCUUUGUAUGAAAGUGUUGUGUACAAACCCCCCACUAAUCAUUUUUCUCCCCUUUACAGCAAAAUAAAGGUUUGAGAUUGAAGCUCCUUAGAAUUGUCA
rnacentral:lncRNA from 1 species